rnacentral:rRNA from 1 species
GACGAACGCUGGCGGCGUGCCUAAUACAUGCAAGUUGAGCGCUGAAGGGUGGUACUUGUACCAACUGGAUGAGCAGCGAACGGGUGAGUAACGCGUGGGUAAUCUGCCUUGUAGCGGGGGACAACAUUUGGAAACGAUUGCUAAUACCGCAUAAAAAUGUUAAACACAAGUUUUAUGUUUGAAAGAUGCAAUUGCACCACUCAAAGAUGGACCCGCGUUGUAUUAGCUAGUUGGUGAGGUAAGGGCUCACCAAGGCGAGGAUACAUAGCCGACCUGAGAGGGGGAUCGGCCAAGCGGGGACUGAGACACGGCCAAGACCCCUACGGGAGGCAGCAGAAGGGAAUCUUCGGCAAUGGGGGAAAGCCUGACCGAGCAACGCCGCGUGAGUGAAGAAGGUUUUCGGAUCGAAAAGCUCUGUUGUAAGACAAGAACGGGGGUGAGAGUGGAAAGUUCACACAGUGACGGUAGCUUACCAGAAAGGUACGGCUAACGACGUG